AAAACCAAAUACUGCACGUUCUCACUUAUAAGUGGGAACUAAACAUUUGGUACUCAUGGAUAUAAAGAUGGCAACAGUAGACAUUGGGGACUACUAGAUGGGGAAGAGAUGAGGGAAAAAAGAAACCUAGAAAAAAAUCCACCUAGAAAAAAAUAUACCAAAAUUUGUAUUUCUUAUUGUUGUAUUGAUAGUUUUUAUUUAUUUUUAAAAAAAUAUUUUCUAGUCAAGGUUAGUGGAAUCUGGGGAUGAGAAGAGCCAAGGGUACUAUAUUUUAAAGAAAAAUUCAGAAGGUGGA
rnacentral:lncRNA from 1 species